rnacentral:rRNA from 1 species
GGGUCAGUAGGUUGGUCGUGCCACCGGUACGUACUGGCCUCACUGAUUCCUCCUUCCUGAAGAACCGUAAUGCCAUUUAUUUGGUGUUGCGGGGAAACAGGACUGUUACUUUGAAAAAAUUAGAGUGUUUAAAGCAAGCUAGCGCUUGAAUACAUUAGCAUGGAAUAAUGAAAUAGGACGAUCGAUCCUAUUUUGUUGGUUUCUAGGAUUGACGUA